AUAAUGGGUCAGCGACUUAUAUUCUGUAGCAAGGUUAACCGAAUAGGGGAGCCGAAGGGAAACCGAGUCUUAACUGGGCGUUAAGUUGCAGGGUAUAGACCCGAAACCCGGUGAUCUAGCCAUGGGCAGGUUGAAGGUUGGGUAACACUAACUGGAGGACCGAACCGACUAAUGUUGAAAAAUUAGCGGAUGACUUGUGGCUGGGGGUGAAAGGCCAAUCAAACCGGGAGAUAGCUGGUUCUCCCCGAAAGCUAUUUAGGUAGCGCCUCGUGAAUUCAUCUCCGGGGGUAGAGCACUGUUUCGGCAAGGGGGUCAUCCCGACUUACCAACCCGAUGCAAACUGCGAAUACCGGAGAAUGUUAUCACGGGAGACACACGGCGGGUGCUAACGUCCGUCGUGAAGAGGGAAACAACCCAGACCGCCAGCUAAGGUCCCAAAGUCAUGGUUAAGUGGGAAACGAUGUGGGAAGGCCCAGACAGCCAGGAUGUUGGCUUAGAAGCAGCCAUCAUUUAAAGAAAGCGUAAUAGCUCACUGGUCGAGUCGGCCUGCGCGGAAGAUGUAACGGGGCUAAACCAUGCACCGAAGCUGCGGCAGCGACGCUGAUGCGUUGUUGGGUAGGGGAGCGUUCUGUAAGCCUGCGAAGGUGUGCUGUGAGGCAUGCUGGAGGUAUCAGAAGUGCGAAUGCUGACAUAAGUAACGAUAAAGCGGGUGAAAAGCCCGCUCGCCGGAAGACCAAGGGUUCCUGUCCAACGUUAAUCGGGGCAGGGUGAGUCGACCCCUAAGGCGAGGCCGAAAGGCGUAGUCGAUGGGAAACAGGUUAAUAUUCCUGUACUUGGUGUUACUGCGAAGGGGGGACGGAGAAGGCUAUGUUGGCCGGGCGACGGUUGUCCCGGUUUAAGCGUGUAGGCUGGUUUUCCAGGCAAAUCCGGAAAAUCAAGGCUGAGGCGUGAUG
rnacentral:rRNA from 1 species